AGGCUGAUAAGAUUUUCAUCAACCUAAAAAUCAUUCAUACCAAUAUCAAGUGACACCCGGGAUUCCCACAAACACUUCAGUAGGGAGGAUGAUUUUUUUGUUUAAACAGAUCAUUCCCCAAUGAAGUGUUUGGCGGAACACCGGGGGCACCUGAUUAUGUUGUUUCUGCAUGUUCAGAAAGAGACGAAGCCAUGAUCAAAUUGCUGUAGCAAGUGAACCUAGACACAACUAUAGGCCAUAUGGACAGGAUCCGGCUUAAAUGCGGUAGUUUAAACUACCGCAUAUUUGCUGUGGUUGAAAUCAAAGGCCCAUAUUUAAUUUUGAGUUAAACAGUGACUGAAGGAAACAGCGUAACAAAAAAAAAGAAAAAUCACUCUCUCUCUCAUUGUCAGACACACACGUUCUCUCUCUUCAUUAGCAGGUGCAGGAAAGUGAAAAUCCUUCCCCUUUUUCUUCCCUGAUCUGCAUCUGUCCUUUCCUUCCUCUCCAAUGCAAAUCAUUCCCUUUCCCACCAAAAAAAAAAAAGAAAAGAUAUAAAAGAAAUUACAUAUCCCUAUUUUCUAAAUAAAAAUGCCUUCAUUGCAGGAGGAACAGUUCCCGUCAACGUUAGGGAAGUUCAAGAUCGAGCGGGCCCACGCCAUGAACCGCCAGUUCCACCGCUGUUUCACUUCCACCAACACCACGUUCUUGUUGGCGCUCUUCUUGAUCGCCCUCACGGCGUCGUAUUUGAGUUUCCAGAGUUUUGUCGAUUCCAGAAUCGGCCUCCCGGGGUGGCAUCCGGAAAGUGAAAAUCCUUCCCAUUUUUUUUCCUGAUCUGCAUCAGACUCUGAUGCAGAUAAGGAAAAAAAAAAGGGAAGGAUUUUCACUUUCUGGCACCUGCUAAUGAAGAGAGAGAACGUGUGUGUCAGACAGUGAGAGAGAGAGAGAGUGCUUUUUCUAUUGUUUUUUGACGCCGUUGCCUUCAGUAACAGUUUGACUCAAAAUUAAAUCUGGGCCUUUAAUUUCAACCACAGCAGAUAUAAGCCGGAUCCAUAUGGACAUGGUAGAAAAUAUUUGCUAGACUGUGCACUUCAAGAGGCCCCAUGCAAAUUUUAUGUUUUUCAAUAUCCUCUGUCCAUAUUACAAAAAAAAAAAAAAAAUCCUCUGUCCACCCAAUCCCUUUCACUUUUUCUAGUACACACAAAAGCAAGUCCUUUUUUGUAAAACGUGCACGUUCUUUUGGGACGUGCGCAGGGUGCGUACUACUAGAAAGUUUGUUCAAGUUGAGAACCAUUAAUGCAAUUAGUUAGUAGACUGCUUAAUUAAUUCUAUAGAGUAAUGCUUCAGAACUCUUUUAAAUUCACUCUUCAUGUUUUUGAUAAGAUGGACGGUAUUUAUGUAAUUUUGGAUGUAACAUUUACUUAUUUAUAUAUUAUAUAAGUGACAUUCACCUAAAACAAGAGGAUGAAAAGUGAAUUUGAAAGAGUUCCAUAAUAUUACUCAAUUCUAUAUCAUCAAGGUUCACUUGUUUGGCCGUGUACGUACGUGUGAUAUGUUUGUGGACUUAGGCAUAGACACGUCCUCUCCGAUACAUUUUAAGGUUUUGUAUACGUGACAAAGAUUGAUGAUAGGCCCAUGAAAAGCCCUAAUGCCUACUCUCCUCAACAUUAUUCGAUUUGCUCUCUUCAUCUUACUCAAAAUUCCUACCAGGUUCAGUCUCAGCAACUUGGUUUGUUGGAUUUUUCUUAUCUCUAGGAAGUCUCCAACCAAUAGGCAAUAGCCACCUUCAAGUACCUCCCCCCAAAAAAUCUCCCUAUAAAUAGGGAAGUUACAGUGCAUUCCCUUACCAAGAAAGCAAUCACAAAAAAAGGAAGCGUCAGUUGUCUCCUAGAGUUCCCUUGAACACUUCACUAGCAAAUGGCCAGUGCUAUCCUACUGAAGUGUUUGGGGGAACUCUGGGAGCCAUCUGACAUAUAUUAGUAAAACAAAGUAUUUCGGUGGGUUAUCUUAUUGGUACUUGUACUUUUUUUUGGAUAAGUAAGAACUUCCCCCCCCCCCCCCCCCGCGCGGGCAGCGCGCGGCGAUAACAAUCUAUUGGGUAAGCUAAAACUCAUCAAAAUGAGUUCAUAAGACCCAUGCAUACAAUUAUUAUGCGUCUUGACUUUUAUCUUUGCCAUUUCUAUAUAUAUUGGCCUUUGAAAAAGAGAACUUGAUGCUGGGCAGUUUUCCAUCAUAUAAGCUUCCUUGUGUUGGAAAGUUGAUAAUUCAAAUUAAAGGUCAUGUUUCAUGGAGUUUUACCAAUUAUUCUUACAUUUACGAGGUCAAAACGGGUUACAAAGAGAAUUUUGACGAGGUGAUUUAGAGGAGUACCAGAAAAGUGCGUUUCAAAUCUCAAUUCAAACUAGAUUUGGAAAGAGGUGAUUUGGGAAGUUGCAGUAACGCGUGUUUGAAAUUUCAAUUCAAAUUGAAUUUGGAACAAGAUGACAUUUUUACCAGUUCGAACUGGCUGCAAAAAUUUUUUGUAAACCAACUUUCUUUUGGUGUUUUAUUAGAGUUAGAGGCCUAAGUAGUAUAAAUAUAUGUUAUGGCCGUCUAAAGCCCAAUUUUUUUUACAUAUUUUGAUCGGUUAUUAAUAAGAAAUAAGAAACACUUUUAGUGUUUUUUUUUUCCUAUCAUAUCUCAAAUCCUUGAUUGACUCUUGAGUUUGGGAAGAGUUGUGAUUCUUGUAUUGUUAUUUUUGCGACCUACUCAUCUUAAGAAAUCUUGAUAAUAUUAUAAUUAUUUUGAUUCAUAACCUGUGCCUCGACCCACUAUCCCUCAAAUCGUUAAUUGCAUGUCUUGAUAAUUGUAAUUCUUGACAAACUUAUCUUAAGAAAUCUAUCUUAAGUUUUACUCAAGAAAUAUUUGGGGUAUUUAAUUUUCCUAAGCGUUGGUUUAAACCAUAUACAGUUCCAAUCUAAAAACAAAACAAAAAAACAAAAAACAAAAACCAUAUACAGUACUUUCAACUCCAUCUUUUAUAAAAUAUUGUAAGAAACACAAGAAACUAAUGGCGAAUAAUACUAUUUCAUGGUUGGUCCAAUUUAUGGUUUACCAAAUACUUAGGGUUCAGAAAGAAAUUGAAAAUUAAAUUGAUUACAAGAUCGAACUAAAAGAUUUUUUUUUUUUGGUCUCAUGCUUCACGUCGUCCAUUAAAUUAAACCAUAUUAUAUGGUAGAACUGUAGAUGUAGUCUUCUUAGCCUCUUAGGCACGGCUAGCUGAGUGAUUGUUUAAAUUAUUUCUUUAUUUUCCUACAAUUUCUCAAUAACCAAAUGGAGAAUUAACGGUUUUUUUUUUUUUUGAUAUAAAUUUCCUAUAAAUUGGAAUGUAAGAAUUUUGUCAUCAGUUUAGUCUCUAAAGUGACAUAUAUUCUUUAAGCAUAUGAGAAACACAUAUAUUUUUAAUUAUACUAUUAAAAAGCAUGUAAAAAACACAUGCUAUUAAAAAAAUAUAUUAUUAAUUUCCACAUGCUAAGAAAAGCUUGACACAUUUAAAGACUAAAUUUAAAGAAUUUUUUUACAACUCAAUUGGUUAGAAAUUUCUGUCUUUUUUGUUUUUGUUUUUUUGUUUGUUUUUUUUUUCCUCUCUAUAUAUGCAUGAAAAGAAGGCUUCCGCAUUCCCCCUAAUUAUGCUUUAAUUGUUUUUCAGUAUUUUUAGUUGAGAUUCUCUUCUUUAUUUUGCCGCUUUUUAUUUGUUGAUUACAAUUUUCUCUUUUAUCCCAAAGGAGGGGGGAGUUGAUAAUAAAAUUAAAAUAAUAAUAAAAAAAGAGUGGCCACCCCUCGCACAGAGGCCACAACCCUAUUUGUGAGUGGCUGCUCCUCACAUAAAGAUUGUGAGUAGAAAUUACCCCUUGCAAAAGAGGGGUAGCGUGUAAUAAAAAAAGAUAAACUUCUAGUUGAGGGGAGGUGACCCUUCACAGAGGGAUGGCCAUAGGGAAAAUGUCUUCUCACAGGAUAGGGAUCGCCUCUCACAAAGAGGGAUUGCCACUCUCAUUCAUAAAAAUAAAUAAAUAAAUUUUUUAAAAAAAAGAUUGGCACCCCCUCAAUGAGGGAAAGUGGCCCCUUUCAUAAAGGAGUAACAACCCCUCUUUGUGAGGGGGGUGGCCACUCCUUUAUGAGAGGAUGUUGCCCCUCACAAGAGAGUAAUCACGUACCCCUCACCAAUUGAGCGAAAAUCCCCCUCACUAGUUAGUGGUGGCCGGCCAACAUCCUUCACUAGGGGUGGCUGGCCAGCUCUUUUAAAAAAUAAAAAGAAAAAAGAAAAGAACAUGUGGGCACCGCAUGCAAUAUAACUUCUAAGCCAGGUAAUGCU
rnacentral:precursor_RNA from 1 species